ensembl:snoRNA
GAGUUAAGUUCUACUGAGAAGCACUCCCUUUGGUCCAUGGUGCCCAGAGUCAAGCUACAGCUCCAGAGAAUCAAAGUGCUCACGAAUAACUGGGGCCGCCUGCGCUUUGCGGGUGACCCUUUCAACCACAAGCAAAAGGG